AAGUCGUAACAAGGUUUCCGUAGGUGAACCUGCGGAAGGAUCAUUAACACGCGUAAUCUCUAACGAUUACAAACCCAACCCGUGAAUCAGUAUUUUACAGACCGCGCUUUGAUAGGCCGCUUCGGUUCUGCAAGGAGUGUUUCGAUACACUGUGACUCCUUGUAGGCUGGAGUGUUAUGGACUAUUGGCUCGCGGUAUACAAGUUAAAAAUAAACUCACUAGUAUAUCACAACCUUUCACCCCUCUCUGAACUAAUUUUAACUGAUUUUCCACAGUUUGAGUCGAAAGGCUCGAACUGCACUGGAUCGUAAUCUUACGAAACAGUAAAGUACAACUCUAAGCAGUGGAUAUCUAGGUUCCCAU
rnacentral:misc_RNA from 1 species